CCUGUGGCACCUGGCCUGGAAACUGACCUUGGAAAGCACUAGAAAGGAGGGAACCACUCCCAGCUUGGUGGAGAAGCAUAAUCCUCUCACUUCUUCUGUUUACUUAUUAUUGUGCAUGUAAGCGUGUGCUCGAUGUGGAGGUAGACUUGUGUUACAGUGCACACAUGGAGGCCAGAGGACACUCUGAAGAACUGGUUCUCUCCAUUUUUUAUGGGGUCCCCGGCAUUAAUCUCAGGACAGAAAGUUUCAAUCUGGGAGGAAACUGUUAUACGAAAGGAUGGCAUCACUCCAUGGGCUAGGAGAAAUGAGUUCAGCACCAGCGUCUAUGGCUCUACUUCCAGGCUAUGGAUGUGAUGUGACCAGCUGUCUCCUGCCAUCUGCCUUUUCUGCCAUGAUGUGCUAUACACUCCAACUAGAAGCCAGCAUAAACCCUCCCCUCCUUAAAUUGCCUUUGUCAGAGUUAUGGGAAGAGUGAUAACAUAGCAGCCUUCCCCUCUGUCCAAAACACAUAACAAUGGUCUAAGCUAGAAGCACUCCCUCAAAAAAACAUUUAUUUUUACUGAAA